rfam:Hordeum vulgare subsp. vulgare, WGS project CAJW01000000 data, contig: morex_contig_1565921
CUUAUACUCUCUCUGUCCGAAAAUACUUGUCCUAGAAACGAAUGUAUCUAGACUUAUUUUAGUUAUAAAUACAUCCAUUGUAUUCAUUUUUAGGACAAGUAUUUCCAGACAGAGGGAGUAGUAU